ensembl:lncRNA
CCGGGAGUGACAGCACUUCUGACCAAUCACAGUGGAGGAGCGGUGCGCUCGUGCCAAUCACGGUGAGACUCGUUAGAGGUGGGGGUUGCCCUCACGGCCGCGCCGCCUCCGUGAGGGGGCGAGUCGGGAUCGUGUCAACGGCCCCGCGCUGUGUCACCCGCCCCGGGCCGUGUCACCCGCCCCGGGCCGGCGCGUGGGCGAAAUGCCAUCGUGUCACUCGGCCGGAGGGAGCUCCUGGACCGAGAGCGGCCUCGCGUUCCCCCUCCUCGGCCCGGGAGGCGCCGCUCCGUCCUAACAUGGCGGGUGCUGCCUCUCAUAGCCCGCCCCGGCUGUCAGCGCUGCCGCGGGCACGGUCGGGCCGUGGAGGUCACGGGUGUAGAUAGGUCAGUGGAUACCCGCCACAAACAUUGCUCUCAGAGCAGGAUACAGAACUGCUUAAAAAUAGCUAAAUUUAAAAAAAAAAUUGUUAAAUGAGGUGAAAAUAUCAAUUCAGUUAUCUGGAGAAGUGAGGGACUGGAGGUGCUUAAUGCAGAGCCCCUGCACUGAGGGCUCCUGGAGACUUCUCGUUACAGCACAGCUCACACAAACUCCUCACUGGCUGUUUUUAAGAACAAAGAUCACUGCUCAGCUCAACAGAACAAUCCCAUCAAAAUGGCAGCACAAUGUUGUGCUGCUGUUUUCACUGGGUCCCUGUCAAGUUGCAUCAGUUGAAAUGCUGAGAGGUUUUAUUUCCCUGACCUGUCACACUGCUCGCUGUGCCCCGGAGCUGCCAGUCAAGCUGUGUUGUUUCUGCUGAGAUGCUGUUUGUGCUUUGCUGGGUUUGUUGGUGGUGCCAGCCCUGACAUUCAAUUUUCUUAUUUUCUGAACAGCACAAACUCACUGCUGUCACUGCAUGUGCAGCCUAAUCUUACUGUCCUCACACUCUGCCCCCUUUUGUUCCUGAGGCCUCUCUAUGUUGUACCUGGGUAAAAGCAAUCUGGGUAAAAAAGGAUGUGGCAUUUGGCUUUUCCAGAGGUACAAGCUGCUUCUUGGCUGUGCCUGCUGGUUUAUCUGGGACAACUGGCCCUGGAAGUCAUUCUGGACAACUCCACCUUGAUGCUUCUGUCCACAGGUACCUGUGUUCCUGAGGGCUUCAGCCAUGACCCAGGGAGCCUCCAGAGUAAGAUCCACAGGGAAAGAAACUGUGGAAUGGAAACCCUCCUCUAGCUGAUCUGUGAAUCUCUGCACACACCAGUGUAGAAGAGCAAAGGCUCCAUUUUUCCAUUCACUUAGCAGAGGAAAACCAUCCAUUAAAAAAAAAUCACAUCCAUUUUCACAGUCCAUUGUAGAAAGAGGGUUUAUUAAUCCUGCUAACUUUCCUGUAAACAUUAAAUAACCACCAAUAUGUUUAGCAUAUCUUCAUUUUUUCAUUUGGUAGGUUGCUGCCUGACCCCCUACUGGAGGCACAGUCCCUGGUUAGCAGCACUAACCUGCCCUCCCUGCAGACAAAAGUAAUAUUUACCUCUGUCUGCAUUCUGACACAUGCCAAACAACGAACUUGAGCUCUUGGGAUCAGAUUUAUUUAUCCUCUGAUUUUCCCACAGUAUUUCAAAACCCAUUUGGGCUUGAAUGAUCCUGCAGCCAUUUGCAUUUAUCAUUUGACACAUGUCAGAUCAAACAACUCUGUGAAAUAUCAAACAGGCCUCCAACAUUUUGCUUUUGUGUAGUUUAUUGAAUCCCUGGGAUAACAUUCCACAAAAAGCAGCAUGGAAAUUUCUAAUCUCACCAAGCCCCAGUCAGACAUUGCUUGUUGUACU